GUCUGAGAGGAUGAUCAGCCACACUGGAACUGAGACACGGACCAGACUCCUACGAGAGGCAGCAGUGGGGCAUAUUGCACAAUGGGCGCAAGCCUGAUGCAGCCAUGCCGCGUGUGUGACGAAGGCCUUCGGGUUGUAAAGCACUUUCAGUCGUGAGGAAGGCAGUGUAGUUAAUAGCUGCAUUAUUUGACGUUAGCGACAGAAGAAGCACCGGCUAACUCCGUGCCAGCAGCCGCGGUAAUACGGAGGGUGCGAGCGUUAAUCGGAAUUACUGGGCGUAAAGCGCAUGCAGGUGGUUUGUUAAGUCAGAUGUGAAAGCCCGGGGCUCAACCUCGGAAUUGCAUUUGUAACUGGCAGACUAGAGUACUGUAGAGGGGGGUA
rnacentral:rRNA from 1 species